rnacentral:rRNA from 1 species
CUACGGGGGGCUGCAGUGAGGAAUAUUGCACAAUGGGGGGAACCCUGAUGCAGCAACGCCGCGUGGAGGAUGACGCAUUUCGGUGUGUAAACUCCUUUUAUAUGUCAAGAAAAUGACGGUAGCAUAUGAAUAAGCGCCGGCUAACUCCGUGCCAGCAGCCGCGGUGAAUACGGAGGGCGCAAGCGUUACUCGGAUUCACUGGGCGUAAAGGACGCGUAGGCGGGUUGAAAAGUCAGGUGUGAAAGCCUACAGCUUAACUGUAGAACUGCACUUGAAACUCUCAACCUAGAGUAUGGGAGGGGCAGAUGGAAUUAGUGGUGUAGGGGUAAAAUCCGUAGAUAUCACUAGGAAUACCUAAAGCGAAGGCGAUCUGCUGGAACAUUACUGACGCUAAGGCGUGAAAGCGUGGGGAGCAAACAGGAUUAGAUACCCUCGUAGUC